rnacentral:lncRNA from 1 species
CAAUGCCUCAUGCAUGCUAGGCAAGCGCUCUGCCACUGAGCUACAGCCCCAGCCUCCUACCUCUACUUUUUUUAUCAGCUUCAAGGUUCCUGCUGGUUAUAUCCUGCCUGCUAUCAUGACUCAUCUAAUUAUUCUCUAUCUUAGGAAUAAUUUAUGAGUAUGUUCUUUUUGUUUUGUAUUGUGUGCAUUAUAAUUAUACACAAUAGUGGGAUUCAUUGUGACAUAUUUGUACAUGCAUAUAACAUAAUUGGGUCAAUUUCAUUCCUCAGUACCUCAUCCUUUUCUCCCCUCCUCCCUAUCUGACCCCCUUCCUUUACCAGUCUCUAUUCUAUUUUCAUGAAAUUUCCUUACAUAGUAAUUUCUUAAUAUUUUGUGGAUAAAAAUGAAUACCCAGACUGGGACUGGCUCUUUUGUGGGGAGAGGAAGGUUUAUUUCUUCUCAACCACUAAGGUACAGGAGGGCUGGGACCACAUCUUGGCCCCAGGGUCUAGGACAGUUUUUGGGUUUUUCUCAUUUGUUUAUUUUGUUUUUUGCUGGGUUUUGUUUGUGGUUGGUUUUGGUGUGUGUAUAUGUAUGUGUUACUUGGGAUCAAACCCUCCCCUCAAACAUGCUAGGCAAGUGUUCUAUCACUGAGCUACAACGAAUAUAUCUUCCUGGACCUCGUGUGACUCAAUUACAUCCCCAAAUAGUGUAACUUGGAAAAGAUUUUCCAGCUAAGAGAUUGAAUGACCAGCCGUUUGGUACAGAGCAAACAAAACAAAACACCUCCCUUCCUGAAUGACACCUAGGCUUGUUCUGGUCUCCCCUAGGAGACCCUGAAUGUGAGAAGUUCUCAAGUAGCCUAGAAUGGGACCUCAACCUGAUGGUGGCUGUCCUGUUGUUGGGAGGAGGGGGCCAAUCUCCCCCAAAACCUCCUACAAUCUGCCCUACCCACCUCUUUCAGGUGCCUUAAAAAUCCUUGGAGGCAUCCUUGAUUCCCCUUUACCUUACCCCACAUACUCAGUCUGUCCGGGCAGCCUGGAUGCACUCCAUCAAUAUCACUGUCAUCCAAGCCAUCUUACCAGUAUCCUGGACUAUUAUGGUAGUAUCUUUCAUGAAAUAACCUAAGCCAUUUCAUGCACAAUGGGGUUUCCUUGCUGCAGAUCUCAGUAACCUACAGUAAAAGUGAUAGAUAAGGACAAUAGCUUCUUUCCUCAGACUUUGCAAAGAGUGGGCCUGACACACUUCAAGCAAAUCUCAGACUGAAUUCUGUACCCUUUACCAUCACUUAUUACCAAGCAGGCUCCCAACAAUCAGAUAACCUGUUCUGUGAACUCAAGGAAGGCCUGGCUCCAUGUCCUUUUGGGUGACCAAUGGAAAAAUAAUUCAAGUCAUGAAUCCCAAAAAACUAAAGGCUGAAUAUUUUCUCUGAUUAGUGGAUGCUGAUCUAUGAUGGGGGCUGGGGCAUGGGAAGA